rnacentral:rRNA from 1 species
GACGAACGCUGGCGGCGUGCUUAACACAUGCAAGUCGAACGGAAAGGCCCCCACUUUUUUGGUGGGGGUGCUCGAGUGGCGAACGGGUGAGUAACACGUGGGUGAUCUGCCCUGUACUUCGGGAUAAGCUUGGGAAACUGGGUCUAAUACCGGAUAGGACCAUGGUUUAGUGUCUCAUGGUGGAAAAAUUAUUGUUUUGGUGCAGGAUGAGCUCGCGGCCUAUCAGCUUGUUGGUGGGGUAAUGGCCUACCAAGGCGUCGACGGGUAGCCGGCCUGAGAGGGUGGACGGCCACAUUGGGACUGAGAUACGGCCCAGACUCCUACGGGAGGCAGCAGUGGGGAAUAUUGCACAAUGGGCGCAAGCCUGAUGCAGCGACGCCGCGUGGGGGAUGACGGCCUUCGGGUGGUAAACUCCUUUCGUUAGGGACGAAGCCGCACCUUUUUUGGGUGUGGUGACGGUACCUUUGUUAAGAAGCACCGGCUAACUACGUG